GAUUAUACACAUGGUUGCAUUUAAUAAAGUCCUGGGUUCAAUAUUCAACACCGCUUAAACCAGGAGAGGUGGUAUCUAUCAUGUCUCCAAUCCUCACAUAAGAGAAGUAACACCUAGAGAAUUAAAAGGUGAAGAUUGGCUUCAGCUAUGUAGCUAGAUGUAAGCCAGCCUGAAUGACAUGAGAUCCUUUCGCAGCAAAGUGAACUUACAAUUCUGGUUACUGCACCACCCUCUUCUAGUCCUUUUUCUUUUCUUCUUCAAUUUUCUGAAAAGCUACUGUUCUUGUACCUACAAGAAAGAUCCAUAGAACUGGAUACAUCAUACUCCACAACACAACGAAUCCAGCAGUGAUCACCUCUCCUGUUUACCGCCUGAGCUCGGCUCCAACAAACUUCUUCACCUGUUCCUGGCUGACACACGGAUUAUCUCCCGUGUCGCCUGCAGUUGCCAGUGUGCCUUGGCAAUACGAAUGGAGCUGCAUUCACAGGACUCUGAGAAUAGAGCUGGCUUGAACUCUCUAUUUCCAAGAUGGUGUCACAGUUCAGCACGUUCAUCCACCCAGAUGAUCUGGGCACUGUUGAAGCAUCAAAUCCUGUUUCCUUUCACGUGCAGACACUUACAUGUUCACAUAAACCUAUAUUGGUUUUGCUUAAAUUUUUAUUCAACCGCCUCUGUACCUUACAGCAGCCCACCAUUCAGAAAAGGAAAAGACUUUACAGUCGCAAAGUGCUAUGCCAUAGGAUGUGUGUCUUUUCUCACAUCUUCAAUGUUCCUUAAUUUGCCACAGGAGAGUUUUAACUGAAAACUUUAAAAUGUUUAUUUAAUUUUAAAAAGCAGUCUAAAUAAAAUCACUUAGAAUAAUUUAAAACAUUUUUUGGCAUAAGAAUGACUCAAAUAAGCAUUAAAAAAAAACCCUCUCAGCCACCUGCAUAUGACCUCAACUAGGCUAUUUUUUCCUCCUUGCAUUUCUGACUUCUAUCAGUGUUUCCCGGACUUUCCUCAUCCUGUAAACACGAGCUGCCAGACCAUUUAAGGAAGUUAACUCAGAGUUGACUCCCCAUCCUUGUUUUCAGAAGAAAAAGGCAAAUCCUUUGCCCUACUUGCCCCCUCCUCCUCCCCACUCCACGUCACCCCACCCCACCCCUCCCCGCAUACCAAAUUCAAAUAGCUCUUGGGACAGGACAAACCCACUGUAAGAAGUAAACACUUAACAGGAUGUCUCACAUAGCAACAGUCUCCAAGCACCAGAGGCAUGAGUCACGCUGAGCACGUGGAGGGAUGGCUGCUCCUCUCCAGGGUUUACCAAAGCUCUGACUCAAGGGUGGAGUCCAAUUACAGAGACAUUUCACAGGGCUCAGCACCCUGGUGAUGUCAGCUGAUCCAGUUACAGUUGGGGGAUCAGCAGGAUUCAAACAAGAGGAGGGUUCAUUCAGAGUUCCAGUCAGAGAUUCCAGAGGCCCUGCCAAGUAAAUGGAGAUUGCAAGGAAAAAGCCAUCUAUAAUAGAAAGUACUGGAAGUCCGGCUUAGCCGUUGCUCAGGGCGCAAACAGAUCCCUGUCAUUAUAGAUUAGCGCAGCCCAUUUUAAUCGGUGAACUGGCAGAGCCAAGGAGUAAUAGGAUGAUAAUGAACGUUUCUGCUCCACAACAGAGCUUGCAAUUCCUGAAGGAACCUUCAAGCUAUUCAAAAGAGGACAGCUUUAAAAAAAAAAUAACCCUGAAGGAGCAUUAGAUUCACUUUAAUGAAUAUAUUUAAUGAAUACUUUAAUACAUAUAUAUGUAUAAAAUCAAGUAUAUAUAUGUAUAUGUAAUCUUGGGGAAAAUAAUAUUCUCAUAAACUUCUUAUCACAGACAAUUUUUUGUUCUGUUCUCUUUCUAUAGGAUUUAAAAGCAAUUUAUGAGU